rnacentral:rRNA from 1 species
ACCGAACGCUGGCGGCGUGCUUAACACAUGCAAGUCGAGCGAGAAAGGGAGCUUCGGCUCCUGAGUAAAGCGGCGCACGGGUGAGUAACACGUGGGUAACCUGCCUUUCAGUGGGGGAUAACAGUCCGAAAGGGCUGCUAAUACCGCAUUCGUCGACGAGUACUCAUGUGCUUGUGGAGAAAGAGGCGCAAGUCUCGCUGGAAGAUGGGCCCGCGGUCCAUUAGCUAGUUGGUGGGGUAAAGGCCUACCAAGGCUUCGAUGGAUAGCUGGUCUGAGAGGAUGAUCAGCCACACUGGAACUGAGACACGGUCCAGACUCCUACGGGAGGCAGCAGUGGGGAAUAUUGCGCAAUGGGCGAAAGCCUGACGCAGCAACGCCGCGUGUGUGAUGAAGGCCU